UACGUAGGGGGCAAGCGUUGUCCGGAAUCAUUGGGCGUAAAGCGCGUGUAGGCGGCUCGGUAAGUCUGCUGUGAAAGUCCAGGGCUCAACCCUGGGAUGCCGGUGGAUACUGUCGAGCUCGAGUCCGGAAGAGGCGAGUGGAAUUCCUGGUGUAGCGGUGAAAUGCGCAGAUAUCAGGAGGAACACCGAUGGCGAAGGCAGCUCGCUGGGACGUGACUGACGCUGAGACGCGAAAGCGUGGGGAGCGAACAGG
rnacentral:rRNA from 1 species